rnacentral:rRNA from 1 species
GCCACUUAAAUAUGAUGGAAGUAGUAAAUAUUAAACGUGUUUAAAUAUGGAAUUUAAUGAGUUAUAGUUACUCCAGUUUAAAGUAUUAAAUAAUAUCUGAAAAUACAAUUUAGACAAUUUAUUAAGUUAGGUUUAUUAGGUGCCAGCAACCGCGGUCAUACCUAAUAAUUAAGUUUACAACGAUAUUAAAUAAAUUUAAUUUACGUUUUAUAAUGUGAUAAUAAAUAGUGAAAUACUAUCUCAUAUUACUGCUACUUAAACUUAUAAAUAAAGAAAUCCACAAUUUAAACUAGGAUUAGAGACCCUACUAUUGUGGUCUUAUUAAAUUUUUUAUUAAGAAGUAAUACAUAAAUUUAAAACUUAAAUGUUUUGGCGGCUAACCAAAACAAUUAGGGGAACUUACCAUAUAAUUGAUAACCACCAAGCAUAAUUACACUUACUAUAAUAAUUUGUAUACCGUUGUCUUCAUGAACCCCCUCGAGGGGGUUCAAAUAAAUAAUACUUAUUUUAAGAUAAAUCAAGGUGCAGUCUACUUAGUGAGAAAUAAGGUGAGUUACAGUAAAACAUUUUUUCGGAAUAUAUAAUGAAAUAAAUUAUAAAGAUGGACUUAAAAGUACUAUUUAAAUAAAUAAUUUUAUUAUGAAUGUGUAUUGCUUAGUGUA